UUCACUCCCACCAGCUGAACAGAAGGUCACCUUUGUGCAGAGAGAGUGAAUAUCCAGCCACACCGGCUGCACAGUAGUGCAAAGAUCAAUGCGGCAUUCCCCAGCUGGACCCCUGCUCAAGUUCGAUGGCUGCAGUUUCUUCAUGCGAAGUCUGUUUUGCUUCCUGCAGUACCCUAGGAGGAGCUCCAUUCCACCCUAUCAGAGGAGCUGCUAGUCCAGAGAUCAAAAGGGUGAAGAUCCAAAACGAAGAUAAACAUUACAAGCCUGUCUGAGGGUGAAAGGGGUGAAAAUCUGGAGCAAGGAUUAAACACCGUGGUGUUCCUACAUUGAUGGAUUAAAAGCCAG